UACGUAGGGGGCAAGCGUUGUCCGGAAUUAUUGGGCGUAAAGAGCGUGUAGGCGGUCCGGUAAGUCAGCUGUGAAAGUCAAGGGCUCAACCCUUGAAUGCCGGUGGAUACUGUCGGGCUAGAGUGCGGAAGAGGCGAGUGGAAUUCCUGGUGUAGCGGUGAAAUGCGCAGAUAUCAGGAGGAACACCUAUUGCGAAGGCAGCUCGCUGGGACGUAACUGACGCGGAGACGCGAAAGCGUGGGGAGCAAACAGG
rnacentral:rRNA from 1 species